AUGCGGGCUCUUUUCUGGAACAUCCACGGCUUCGGCCAUGAUGGUCGUCGCCGCCAGCUUGUGGAGUUCAUGCGGGAUGAGCACAUCGACAUUGUUGCUGUUCAGGAGACCAUGCGUCGCGUUUUCUCGCUUCCUGAGCUUGACCGGCUGAGCUCUCACCUCUUUGCGUGGCACUGGCUCCCUUCUAGUGGGAGCACGGGCCACUCGGGUGGCAUCCUUUUAGGUGUGAAGGAUGCCACCUUCGAGGUGGGCAGCAUGGAUAGGGGCGAAUUCUUCGUCAGCAUGGAGCUAUUCGAGAGAUCGCUCAACUUCAAGUGGGAGGUCAUCAUUGUCUACGGGCCUGCCGACCAUAGUAGGUCGGCCGCCUUCCUGGAGGAGCUCCACCGGAAGAUCUCGGCGGCCUCCCUCCCCGUGGUAGUAGGUGGUGACUUCAACCUGCUG
rnacentral:rRNA from 1 species